rnacentral:miRNA from 14 species
UACAUGUAUGUGUGUAUGUAUAUGUGUGUAUAUGUUUCUCUCUAUGUAUAUAUGCACACACGUAGAUACAGAUGUGCAUACAGA